rnacentral:rRNA from 1 species
GAUGAACGCUGGCGGCGUGCCUAAUACAUGCAAGUCGAGCGAAUGGAUUAAGAGCUUGCUCUUAUGAAGUUAGCGGCGGACGGGUGAGUAACACGUGGGUAACCUGCCCAUAAGACUGGGAUAACUCCGGGAAACCGGGGCUAAUACCGGAUAACAUUUUGAACCGCAUGGUUCGAAAUUGAAAGGCGGCUUCGGCUGUCACUUAUGGAUGGACCCGCGUCGCAUUAGCUAGUUGGUGAGGUAAAGGCUCACCAAGGCAACGAUGCGUAGCCGACCUGGGAGGGUGAUCGGCCACACUGGGACUGAGACACGGCCCAGAAUCCUACGGGAGGCAGCAGUAGUGAAUCUUCCGCAAUGGACGAAAGUCUGGCGGAGCAACGCCGCGUGAGUGAUGAAGGCUUUCGGGUCGUAAAACUCUGUUGUUAGGGAAGAACAAGUGCUAGUUGAAUAAGCUGGCACCUUGACGGUACCUAACCAGAAAGCCACGGCUAACUACGUGCCAGCCGCCGCCGUAA